rnacentral:lncRNA from 1 species
AGAAAUUGUGUGCAAAACAAAUAAGAAUUUAUUGAUGGAUUAAAAUAAGUGUAUAAUAGGGAAGAUAAAGUGCAGAAAUACACUUUGUUAAUUUGUUGUUACUAUUCUAAAAAGACACUUAAAAAAGAACGGAUGGAGUAAUAUUUUUCCUCCUUACUAAGUCCAACGUCAAUCACCACUGGACCGACUAACGAUCGGUAGAUACAUCAAUUUUACACAUCGGGAGAUACAUCACAUGUCAACUUGCCAAA